rnacentral:rRNA from 1 species
AGGACGAACGCUGGCGGCGUGCUUAACACAUGCAAGUCGAGCGGAAAGGCCCUUCGGGGUACUCGAGCGGCGAACGGGUGAGUAACACGUGAGCAACCUGCCCUUAGCUCCGGGAUAGCUCCGGGAAACCGGAAUUAAUACCGGAUACGACCACGGCCGACAUCUGCUGUGGUGGAAAGGAUUCCGGCUAAGGAUGGGCUCGCGGCCUAUCAGCUAGUUGGUGGAGUAACGGCCCACCAAGGCGACGACGGGUAGCCGGCCUGAGAGGGCGACCGGCCACACUGGGACUGAGACACGGCCCAGACUCCUACGGGAGGCAGCAGUGGGAAUAUUGCGCAAUGGGCGAAAGCCUGACGCAGCGACGCCGCGUGGGGGAUGAAGGCCUUCGGGUUGUAAACCCCUUUCGGCAGGGACGAAGCGAAAGUGACGGUACCUGCGAGAAGAAGCGCCGGCUAACUACGCGCCAGCAGCCGC